GCGCCGAUAGUCUAGUGGUAUGACCUGAGCUUCCCAAGCUCAUGGCCCGGGUUCAAUUCCCGGUCGGCGCA
rnacentral:tRNA from 1 species